rnacentral:tRNA from 2 species
GAAAAUUUAGUUAAUUAAUAACAAUAGUAUGUCAAACUAAAAUAAUCAAUCUUGAUAUUUUUCU